CAUAGCGACUAUCGUGGCAUAUCAAUAAGCGGAGGAAAAGAAACUAACUAGGAUUCCCUCAGUAACGGCGAGUGAAGCGGGAAGAGCUCAAAUUUGAAAUCUUCAAGGUUCUACCUUGACGAAUUGUAGUUUAAUAGAAGUGUUUUCUGUUAGUGGAGUUGGCUAAAAGUUCUUUGGAAUAGGACAUCAUAGAGGGUGAGAAUCCCGUAUUUGACCAUUACUCUCCAACUUUGUGAUACACUUUCAAAGAGUCGGAUUGUUUGGGAAUGCAGUCCAAAAUGGGUGGUAAAUUUCAUCUAAAGCUAAAUAUUGGCGAGAGACCGAUAGCGAACAAGUACCGUGAGGGAAAGAUGAAAAGAACUUUGAAAAGAGAGUUAAACAGUACGUGAAAUUGUCAAAAGGGAAGCGUUUGACACCAGUGUUGUUUUCUCGAAAAUCAAUUAAGAAGGCCGAUUUUGUGUUGUAAUUGACCUUAAAAGCUUGCUUCACUCUUUUCUUGUAACUUUUUAAUGCACUUUUCGGUUAACAAGUCAACAUCAAUUUCUUUUGUUGUAAAAGGGUCAUUGAGGAAGGUGGCUUUCUUUUCGGAGAAAGUGUUUAUAGCCUUGUACCUCCUAGCAAUCGGAGAGACUGAGGUCUGCAGCGUAGAUCCUUCGGGAUUAGAUUACAUUUGUGCUAAGUUAUAGCUUUUCAUAGACAACUUGUUGACUAUGUUUAGUCUUGUAGCUUACUCGCUUAUGUAUUUUACCUACGCUUAGGAUGUUGACGAGACUGUCGAUCUC
rnacentral:rRNA from 1 species